ACAUGCAAGUCGAACGAUGAACCACUUCGGUGGGGAUUAGUGGCGAACGGGUGAGUAACACGUGGGUAAUCUGCCCUUCACUCUGGGACAAGCCCUGGAAACGGGGUCUAAUACCGGAUAUCACUUGCGCAGGCAUCUGUGCGGGUUGAAAGCUCCGGCGGUGAAGGAUGAGCCCGCGGCCUAUCAGCUUGUUGGUGAGGUAACGGCUCACCAAGGCGACGACGGGUAGCCGGCCUGAGAGGGCGACCGGCCACACUGGGACUGAGACACGGCCCAGACUCCUACGGGAGGCAGCAGUGGGGAAUAUUGCACAAUGGGCGCAAGCCUGAUGCAGCGACGCCGCGUGAGGGAUGACGGCCUUCGGGUUGUAAACCUCUUUCAGCAGGGAAGAAGCGCAAGUGACGGUACCUGCAGAAGAAGCGCCGGCUAACUACGUGCCAGCAGCCGCGGUAAUACGUAGGGCGCAAGCGUUGUCCGGAAUUAUUGGGCGUAAAGAGCUCGUAGGCGGCUUGUCACGUCGGGUGUGAAAGCCCGGGGCUUAACCCCGGGUCUGCAUUCGAUACGGGCAGGCUAGAGUGUGGUAGGGGAGAUCGGAAUUCCUGGUGUAGCGGUGAAAUGCGCAGAUAUCAGGAGGAACACCGGUGGCGAAGGCGGAUCUCUGGGCCAUUACUGACGCUGAGGAGCGAAAGCGUGGGGAGCGAACAGGAUUAGAUACCCUGGUAGUCCACGCCGUAAACGGUGGGAACUAGGUGUUGGCGACAUUCCACGUCGUCGGUGCCGCAGCUAACGCAUUAAGUUCCCCGCCUGGGGAGUAC
rnacentral:rRNA from 1 species